AGUAGAAUGGCUGAGUAAUAAGUAAUAGAUUGUAAAUCUAUAAAGGAGAAGAAGUUCUUUUCUACUA
rnacentral:tRNA from 1 species